rnacentral:ncRNA from 1 species
CGGGGAUCGCAGGCUCCCCAUCAGACGGCCUCACCGUCCAAGCACUGC